GAUGAACGCUGGCGGCGUGCCUAAUACAUGCAAGUCGAGCGAACAGACGCGGCGCUUGCUCCUCUGACGUUAGCGGCGGACGGGUGAGUCACACGUGGAUCACCUACCUAUAUUUCUGGGAUCACCUCGGGAAGCCGGCUCUAAUACCGGAUGAUAUAUUGAACCGUAUGGUUCAAUGGUGAAUGACGGUUUUGCUGUCACUUCUAGCUGGAUCCGGGCCGCAUGAGGUAGUUGGUAGGGUAACGGCCUACCAAGGCAACGAUGCGUAGCCGAACUGAGAGGGGGGUCGGCCACACUGGAGGGUGGACGCGGUCCAGACGCCUACGAGAGGCAGCAGUAGGGAAUCUGACGCAAUAGGCGAGAGCCUGACGGAGCGACGCCGCGUGAGUGAUGAAGGUGUUCGGAUCGUAAAAAUGUGUUAUUGGGGGAGAACAAAUGUGGAAGUAACUGUGCACGUCGUGACGGUAACGGGUCAGGAAGCCACGGCUAACUACGUG
rnacentral:rRNA from 1 species